rnacentral:lncRNA from 1 species
ACAGCUACUGAGCUGCGUUCCGGGAGACUCGGGGCAAGAACUGCAGAGGGAUGUUUGGGAUUUGUUUAGAUGUGUUUGCUGGAUACCAAACAAACAAAAAGUCAUACAUUGCAAUGUAAGGUUGACUUAGCUUUGCAGAGUAUCUCCAGAUCCCCCGCCAGCAACCCUUACGGUCUGUCAGCUUAACUCUAGAAGGGACCUCUGGCAGGCCAGAGUUUUAAACUGGAUGGGGCUCCACACCAUGCCUUACCAAGGCAGUAAGUCCUGGGCCGGGGCCGCAUCUGCCUCCCCUUACAGGACCAGUGUUCGCCCGACACAGGGUUCGGGAAAGUGAAGCUAAGAGAGAAGCAGGAUUUUAAGAGGCAGGAGAUAAGUUAUUAGGAACACAAAUGGUUCAUUUUCUUUUUUCUUCUAGAGCUUGGUUCCUAUGAGAACACAGACGGUAUUCACAGGUGGCAGCAGGCAGCAGGGAACAUUUUCUCCUCACUUCUGGAUUUUUUUGCAAGCGAGCAGAUAGAAGUUAACGUUUAUUCUCUUUGAACUAGGAGUUGAGUCGGUUCUUAUGCAACUAUGGGCUGAAACCAUACGUGAGGCGUGCUGAGCCGCACGUGAUCCUGCAACCUUCGAGGUCAUCACGAUCAUCAUAUGCGAGGGGUCACGUGAGGUCACUGACUCCAGCUCAGAAGGCAUCUUAGUAAUAUCCGUGAAUCGAUUUCCAAUAGAGUUUUUUUCCUUUUUUUUUUUAACUUUAUUUCAAACAUACAUUGUGUGUUCAAGACUGUUAUGGCCAAUAUUGUGUUGUAGUUUUCUGUUAACAUGAUAAAGUCAUGUGCACUGUAGGACCAUCGGUCCCUGUCCACCCUUCACAGCUGCCCAGAUGCAGAGGGUCGCGCGGCUGUGUGUGAGGAGUGAGCCUCCCUGCUGCCCCCAGGGGCUCCUCCGGGUUGUCUCAGGAUUCUCUGCAAUCCAAAUGUAUCCAUUCUGGCUGAAGCUGGCAUCCAAAGGCGGAAGGCUCAUGGCUUCCCCACUAGAGGCGGCGUCUUGGGCUUUCCCAUUGGAUUGUGAAAGGCAUUAAGACUGUUUGGAGAUGUUGGCUGUAUUUCCUGUCACAUCAGGUUGUAUGAUGAUGAAUAAAAGGCGCUGUGACCCGUGUUUUCAAUUGCUGGCCUUCUGCUCCCGCUGCCUGUUAGGGAAGGUGGUGCAGUUCAUAUACUUUGAGAACGCUCAGGAUUCCUGCUGUCAGCCACAUCUUGAUUCCUCUCAGGUCCAGAACU